rnacentral:rRNA from 1 species
AUUGAACGCUGGCGGCAUGCCUUACACAUGCAAGUCGAACGGCAGCACGGGUGCUUGCCCCUGGUGGCGAGUGGCGAACGGGUGAGUAAUACAUCGGAACAUGUCCUGUAGUGGGGGAUAGCCCGGCGAAAGCCGGAUUAAUACCGCAUACGAACCCCGGAUGAAAGCGGGGGCCCUUCGGGCCUCGCGCUAUAGGGUUGGCCGAUGGCUGAUUAGCUAGUUGGUGGGGUAAAGGCCUACCAAGGCGACGAUCAGUAGCUGGUCUGAGAGGACGACCAGCCACACUGGGACUGAGACACGGCCCAGACUCCUACGGGAGGCAGCAGUGGGGAAUUUUGGACAAUGGGCGAAAGCCUGAUCCAGCAAUGCCGCGUGUGUGAAGAAGGCCUUCGGGUUGUAAAGCACUUUUGUCCGGAAAGAAAUCCUUGGCUCUAAUACAGUCGGGGGAUGACGGUACCGGAAGAAUAAGCACCGGCUAACUACGUG